rnacentral:rRNA from 1 species
UACGUAGGGUGCGAGCGUUAAUCGGAAUUACUGGGCGUAAAGCGUGCGCAGGCGGUUAUGUAAGACAGAUGUGAAAUCCCAGGGCUCAACCUUGGAACUGCAUUUGUGACUGCAUAGCUAGAGUACGGUAGAGGGGGAUGGAAUUCCGCGUGUAGCAGUGAAAUGCGUAGAUAUGCGGAGGAACACCGAUGGCGAAGGCAAUCCCCUGGGCCUGCU